AAGAAUUUAGUUUAAAAAAAACAUUAAUUUGUCAAGUUAAAAUUAUUUUUAUGAAAUAAUUCUUA
rnacentral:tRNA from 2 species